rnacentral:rRNA from 1 species
CCCCUAGAUGUUCUGGGCUGCACGCGCGCUACACUGUCGGAUUCAGCGAGUCAUAUCCUUAACCGAAAGGUUUGGGUAAUCUUUUGAAAGUCCGACGUGAUGGGGAUUGAUCAUUGCAAUUAUUGAUCAUGAACGAGGAAUUCCUAGUAAGCGCGAGUCAUCAGCUCGCGUUGAUUACGUCCCUGCCCUUUGUACACACCGCCCGUCGCUACUACCGAUUGAAUGGUUUAGUGAGAUCUUCGGAUUGGCGCCUACGCGGCUUCUCUGAGGCCACGCUGGAUGCCGAAAAGUUGCUCAAACUGUAUCAUUUAGAGGAAGUAAAAGUCGUAACA